rnacentral:ncRNA from 1 species
ACAGUGUCGCAAUAGUAAUUCAACCUAGUACGAGAGGAAAUGUUGAUUCACACAAUUGGCCAUCACGCUUGGUUGAAAAGCCAGUGGCGUGAAGCUACCGUGUGCUGGAUUAUGACUAAACUCCUCUAAGUCAGAAUCCGGGAUAGAAGCUACGCAUUCGCCUGUUGUCCGCUUGCCGACCCCCAAUAGGGGCCUAUUGCCCCCAAGGGCACAUGUCGUUGGCUAAAUCGCCGUGACAUAAGCAUCGCGGUGACCGCCUUGAAGUACAAUUUCCAUCGAGCGGCAGGUACAAUCCUUUGCAUACUACUUUAAUACGCGAUGGGGUAUUAUAAGUGGCAGAGUGGCCUUGCUGCCAUGAUCCACUAAGAUUCAGCCCUUUGUCGUUCCGAUUC